rnacentral:misc_RNA from 1 species
GUGGGAGCUGGCUUGCCUGCGAUGGCGUCCCUUCAGUCAGUAUCAGGCCGACUGAUCUACCGCUAUCGCAGGCAAGCCAGCUCCCAC